UGUAAGUCUUAACUCUCAAAGUCAUUGUCUCUCAUUAGUGCAGAUGUUGCCUCUAGUAUUCAUUACAAUUUGUCUCCUAAAGGAGACUGCUGGUGAAGAUGUCAUAAAACCAGUCGUCACAGAGAAGCAUGUUUUGGAAGGAAAAGAUGUUACACUGAUCUGCAAAUACACUGAGACUGUUCGCAGUUUACAAUGGUAUCGUCAGUAUCCUGGAUCCAAACCUGAGAACCUCAUCACGUUCUAUGAGACCACUCCACAUAAAGAGACCACUCUCCGUCUGAACGCUGCGGCUGAUAAAACAGCCAAAAAUAUGAAUUUGACGAUCUCUUCUACAGAAGUGACAGACUCUGCCAUGUACUACUGUGCCCUGGUGCCCACAGUGACAGGAAACACAAGAACACUGUACAAAAACCCUCUUGUUAUUUAACAUUUAUCUUGCCACAGAAAGGUGAUUGGGUUUCUAUAUAUACGAUACACACACACACGACAUUAUACUUAACCAGUGGUUACCACACACUUUUUAAUUAUUAUUAUGAUUAUUAAAUCAGAUAAGAG